UCCUAUUUAUGUAAAAUAUCUAUACCAUAAUGCGUUCUACUGAACCAGUUGAAAUUCAGUUUUCAAAGCAUGAUGAUUUUCUCUUAUGUGUUGUUAAAUGCUCACUUCCCUUUUCUUGUAUUAAGUCAUUACUAUUUCAUGUGUUUUCAGAGCAGCAUAAAAUCUGAAACUAUGGUACUUAUCAAGACUGACUUUUUGGGUUGUCAAGAGUCACAUCCUCUAGGGCUCAAUUAUUUUUCCACGAGAAAUUAUGACUUAAAUCAUCAGUUUUUCUGUGGACAAUACUACCACUUCCCAUUCUCAAGCUUUCUUCUCCUGUUCUUAUAGCCACAGCUCAUUGCAAGCUACUCUGAGAUAGGAAAGUAUUCUUCCAGUGGAGGAGAGAUGCAUGGCAUGGUUGCUUUUGCAAAUUGUAAAUGGUGACACUUAUGAUAACUUGAUAGCCUCAAACACUGGGCAUUUACCAUAGGAGACUACAGAUUGUCGUACUCUAGGUUUUGACCCAUAGAUAGAAAAGUUGACUGAUGCCAUUUUGUCCACACUGGCCUCCAUGCAGCUUUCUGGGUAGGAAGGAGUGGCAGAGAGAUUCUAUAAUCAGGUAACAACAUGUUCCAGCCGGUGCCAUCCUUAUCACACAAAGCAUCUUUUUUAUUAGCUCUCCCCCUCCCCCAAUCAAACAUUGCAAUAGGACUGGGUAGAUAAAUGGCUCUGUCUUGUCACGGACCACAGAUAUGACUCCAAAAAUCCAGAGAUUCAUGUCACUGAGAGUUGAAGGUGUCCUACAAAACCCUGGCUCUGUAGGAAUAGUUAGGAAGGGAUACAAAGUGGCGAAGUACUCUUUUUACUUUGAGAAGAAAAUUAACACAAAUAGUAACAAUUCUCACCCCUUCAUCUGUCUUGACAAGCCUUCAUAAUAGAUCACAAAUAUACAUCAUUCCCCCUACCCCAAAAUUAGAGAAUGCAGGGUUGGAAUUUGUAAGCAAAUAUGUUACUUCAUUUUUAAGGUGGUUGCUGCAUUCAAAUGGCAUGUGCCACUUGAAAGGAAAUCUGAGAAACAAGUCAGCUCAAGUCAAAUAAGAGAUCCUCUUAGAAAGAAGUGGUGACAGAUCCUCUCUCCUUAAUCUGUAAAAUAUUUAUUUAUUUAUUUAUUUAUUUAUUUAUUUAUUUAUUUAUUUAUUUUUAAGGACUGCACCUGCAGCAUAUGAAAGUUGCCCGGUCAGGGGUCAAAUCUGAGCUGCAGCUGAGGCCAAUGCCACAGCCACAGCCACAGCAACACGGGAUCUGAGCUGCAUUUGUGACCUAUGCCACAGCUUACAGCAAUACUGGAUCCUUAACCCACUGAUCAAGGCCAGGGAUCAAACCCACAUUCUCAUGGAUACUAAUCAGGUUCUUAACCCAUGGCACAAUAAGAACUCCUAGAAUAAUGAUCUUAAUGAUCCAUGUUCAUUUUCACUUCUGUGUCCAUGAUUUAAUUCUAAAAUGAAAUGACAUAUGAAGUGACAUUCAUUUCAAUUGAAUUUACUUCUACUUGAAUUAGGAGUGGCUUUGAGGAAAGCAAGUAUGAGUAAGAGUAUUACUAACAUUGAUCAUAAUAAAAGCAGCAUAAUAAAAGCUACCAUUCUUCUUUGAGUGUCUCGUGUUAUAUACCAGACGUCACAAUAAGCACCCUGUGAUAUUCUCCAAAGUAACUCAUACAUCAACCUUGAGAAAAAAGUGUUUCUUAUUGGCUACUCCUAUUUUAGAGAAAAGGAAACUGAGGUUUGGUCACACAGCUCUUAGAGCCAACGAAGAAUCUCGGCUUAUGGCUUUUAAACCACAGACUCUCAGGAGACCAUGUGCUCUCCAACUUCAUUUCACAAAGAAAAUUCAGGAACUCCUCCAGCAGGUAUUUGCUAUUCGUUUUUAUGCAUAAUUAAGAAAUUAUAUGCUGCUGAUAACUCUGGUAAUGUAAUGCCUAACCUCUCACAUUCUUCCUUGAUUGCCAUGCAAAGGAUUUGAAAAGAGAUAUUUUAGAAUAAUUACCCAUCAGUAAUCAUCUCCACACAACACAAAUCACAUUUGAUUCCCCAUUAAGACAGACCAAGAGAAUGAGAGGUUUUCACUCCAGAAUGCUUUCUGCUGCAAUCAGGUUAAUUCUAUGUUUCCAUUUCAUUGGCCUUCUGAAUUUAAACAUGGGAACACGGAACAAAUUCUAUGUAGGGGAUAAUCAUAUCCCCAAUCAUGGGUCUUGAUCUACUAGUGAAAAAGUGCUUAACUAUUAAGUUUCCAAGAGGAAUAUCAUCCCCUUCAGAAAUGUCCCUUCCCAGGAAGGAUUCAUUCAGUAAAUAGGGGUGAACACGUUAUUACUGAAGGACAGCUGUUUGCCUUACUUCACGCCAAAGCUCUGACCUUUACGAUCACAGCCUGUAUGAAAGAAUUCAUACAGAAGAACAAAAAGCCAAAUGCCAAGCCAUCAGAGUUAAUCAAUGCCAUUAUUAAAUGCCAGUUGGCAUUUUUGCUCCAUGGUGACAUAUCAUGUUUGAUUUAUAAAAGGAGUAACCUUUUAAGAUGAUCAAUACAUCAAUAAUUCUUGUGUGACUCAUGCCAAGAUUUAGCUUCCUAUCAUUUCUUUUAUUUAAGUAAUACUAUAGUCUUAUUCAGGUAGAAAGAGUAUUAAUUUGGCAGAUCUACGGUUUUGCAUCAUAAUCAAUAGGUUUACUACCAACAUCCUCAUCCAACAUGGUACCUCCCCCUCCCCCAAAUUUGACUUCCAUUCUUUUUUUCCACUACGAGUAGAGAGAAUUAUCCUGCCGAGUGGGAAAUAUAUCCUCCAUGUCUCACAGGAACAGAGUAUCUGCUCUUCAAACCCGUGUACCAAGAAUUUCUGUGUCUUAUCCUUCAAUUUCACUACUGAUGCUCUUUCUCCUUCUCCACAGGGCCUCUCCUUUCCUUGGGCUCAUGAGAAACUAUCAUGUGCAUUGACACAGGAAUUUAAGAGGCAUUAUUACUUCAUCAAGCUGUAUUGUAAGUCAUUAUUAUUUUUUUUUUCUUUUUAGCUUGGUGGUAACACAAAUGGUUUAGUGGUUACACAAGUGUUUGGUUUGUAAUUUUCCUUACAAUGUGUAAGCACUUCUCUGCUUGCUGUAUCACUUUUUCUACAUGCAUGUUAUAUUUCAUAAGAUGCAUAAAGCAUAUAGAAAAGUGCCUGAAAAAAAUCUAAGGAAUAAUUAGCAAUUAAAAAUUUGUGUAUCUACUAUACAAAUCAAGAAAUAAAAUGUUACCAGCACCUCCAAAGCCUCCUGGAUCCCCUUGCCAGUGGGAGUUUUAUCCCCUUAAAGGUAACAAAUACCCUGACUUCUAUGAUAAUUAAUCAUUCUAAGCCUUAUCUUUUACUAUAAAAUGAAGGUCCUUGCUCAGUAUUAAUUUUAAGCACUCAAAUCAAGUAGGAGUUUUGUAGAAUUAAGCUCAUUUCACCAGACAUUUAUGGUAUAGAGAGUAUGUGCCAGACACUCAACUAGGAGCUAGGGGAAUGCAAUUCAGUAAGAUAUUAUUUCCACCUGCAAGAAACUCAUGCAGGCUUGGGAGACUUUACUGGUGUUCAUGAAAGCAUAGGAGGAAUAAGUUUGGUCAACCAUAACUACAAUAACCCAAGGCAGAUUGGAACUGGAGAGAAACAAAAUAUGGCAAGAUUUCCAUUGCUUUGGCCUCUAAGCUAACACAUGGGCUGGCCAUGAUUUAACUGGGGAAAGGAUAUGACCAAGUCAUUCCCAAAGUGAAGUGUGUGAGGCAGAAUGGGAACGGUCUCAUACACGAAUCUGAAAGGGAGAGAGUUCUUCUCUCUGGCACCUUGAAAGAGGUGUUUCUAGACCAUUUCUAAGACAAGGUUCACAAUGUGUCAGGGAAGGAAAUUUUGGAAGCAAACUUCUUUCUUAAUCUUCUAAGUGAUUAGCAGGUGUUCCAUUUUUAGUUUUCUCACUUGGAAAAUAAAGAUAAUGGACUACUGAGAAAAUUCACUGAGAUGAUGUUUGGUGGGGGGUGGACUGGCACAAUGCUUGGCACCCACGAGAGCUUAACAAAGGCUAGCUCAGCCUUUGAGUGUUGUGAGUUCCAUUGUCUAGAUGACUCCUUUCUUGAAUAAAGAAAAAGAAGAAUUAAGUGGGACGAAAGAGGUCAAUUGCUCACAGGCCAUGGCACGAAAACAGGUUAGCACUCCUGCUUCUUUGCUAUUUGUUGAAAGAAAGAACAAUUAUAAUGUCAUUUAAUUCAUGACAAAAAAAUUGUCUUAAAUUAAAGUGUGAAAUGUGAUGAAUGUUAUUAUUUUAGUUAAGCACAGGAACUCUUCUCAAUACCCUGCUCUCCUUGCUCCAGAGUCUGGCUGUUGGUUUGCAAACUGGCCUCAAUACAUAGAAGGUAAGGAGAGAAGGAAAAAAAGAGUCAGGGUGCUCCAGAUUGGUAUGUGGUAGAGUGAAUAUACAAAGGAUAAUAAAUACGAGGCCUAAGCUGGGUGGCCAAAGACAAGUAUAUCUCUGUACUAGCCUACCAGAAUCUUAAAAGUUCAUGUAGAGGCCUUAACUGGGUUUAGUCACUGGGUUCAGACACAUACAGAUGUCUAAUAGGCACAUGAAAAUAUGCUCAUCAUCACUAAGGAUUAGAGAAAUGCAAAUCAAAGCUAUAAGGAGGUACCACCUCACACCAGUCAGAAUGGCCACCAUUAAAAAUCAACAACCAAAAAAACUAAACAACCCAACAGAAAAAUGGGCAGAAGACCUCAAUAGACAUACACUUAUAUCACUUGUAUGUGGAAUCUAGAAUAUGGCACAGAUGACCUAUCUAUAAAACAAAAACAGAUCAUGGACAUGGAGAUCAGACUUGUGUUUUCCAGGGGAGAGGGGGGAGAGAAGGGGAUGGAUGGAGAGUUUGGGGUUGGUAGAUGCGAACUAUUACAUUUAGAAUGGAUAAGUAAUGGGGUCCUACUAUACAGCAAAAGGAACUGUGCCCUGUCUCUUGGGUUAGAACACGAUGGGAGAUAGU
rnacentral:lncRNA from 1 species